CCAUCUGUAUCACCAGAUGCCCCUAGGGUUCUGAAUAAAGCAGCGAACCCGACAAUGUAACGAAGUUCAGCCUUUGCUGAGCGGGAAUGAAUUCGUGAGAGGACGUUCCUCCUGAUAACCACAAUUGGGUGAGUGC
rnacentral:ncRNA from 1 species